CCUAUCCAUAGGUCUCUGGGUAGGGGGAUAAUAUCUACCUUAUAGCACCCCUCUGCUAUUCCCAUUAUUCCCUCCAAAACUUCCUCUACCUCGUCCUCUAUAGCUACUACCAUAACCAACUCGCCCUCUCUCUUCUUGUCUACCACCUGCAAUAUAUCCCCUCUGUGGACAGUCACUCUUCCAAUGCCCUUCCUCUCUACAAUAUGCACUUUGAUUAAAGGUCCCUUAAUCAGCCUAUUCUUACUCAGCCUUCUUCAC